AGGGUACCUCAUUUAUCACAUUUACUGACAUACAAGGGGUGUAGGGUAUCUCAUUUAUCACAUUUACUGACAUACAAGGGGUGUAGGGUACCUCAUUUAUCACAUUUACUGACAUACAAGGGGUGUAGGGUACCUCAUUUAUCACAUUUACCGACAUACAAGGGGUGCAGGUUAUCUCAUUUAUCACAUUUACCGACAUACAAGGGGUGUAGGUUAUCUCAUUUAUCACAUUUACCGACAUACAAGGGGUGCAGGUUAUCUCAUUUAUCACAUUUACCGACAUACAAGGGGUGUAGGUUAUCUCAUUUAUCACAUUUACCGACAUACAAGGGGUGCAGGUUAUCUCAUUUAUCACAUUUACCGACAUACAAGGGGUGUAGGUUAUCUCAUUUAUCAUAUUUACCGACAUACAAGGGGUGUAGGUUAUCUCAUUUAUCACAUUUACCGACAUACAAGGGGUGCAGGUUAUCUCAUUUAUCACAUUUACCGACAUACAAGGGGUGCAGGUUAUCUCAUUUAUCACAUUUACCGACAUACAAGGGGUGUAGAUUAUCUCAUUUAUCACAUUUACCGACAUACAAGGGGUGAAGGUUAUCUCAUUUAUCACA